rnacentral:rRNA from 1 species
CCUACGGGGGGCAGCAGUGGGGAAUAUUGGACAAUGGGGGGAACCCUGAUCCAGCCAUGCCGCGUGUGUGAAGAAGGCCCUCGGGUUGUAAAGCACUUUCAGUGAGGAAGAACGCCUGGUGGUUAAUACCCAUCAGGAAAGACAUCACUCACAGAAGAAGCACCGGCUAACUCCGUGCCAGCAGCCGUGGUAAUACGGAGGGUGCGAGCGUUAAUCGGAAUUACUGGGCGUAAAGCGCGCGUAGGUGGCUUGAUAAGCCGGUUGUGAAAGCCCCGGGCUCAACCUGGGAACGGCAUCCGGAACUGUCAAGCUAGAGUGCAGGAGAGGAAGGUAGAAUUCCCGGUGUAGCGGUGAAAUGCGUAGAGAUCGGGAGGAAUACCAGUGGCGAAGGCGGCCUUCUGGACUGACACUGACACUGAGGUGCGAAAGCGUGGGUAGCAAACAGGAUUAGAUACCCUGGUAGUC